GUCAGGGGAGGGGAGGGUAGGCUAGGUUAGUUAAGGUUAGGGUUAAGUUAGGUUACGUUAGGUUAGGGUUAGGUAAGGUUAGGUUAUGUUCAUGAUAAGUUUUGUAACGUUAGAGGUAUGACCGGGUAUGGUGCUGGUAAGGUUAGGUAAUGUUUUGGAUAGGUUAGGUUAGGUUAGGGUAGGUUAGGUUAAGUUAGGUUAGGUUCAUGAUAAGUUUUGUAAGGUCAGAGGUAGGUACAGGUAUGGUGCUGGUAAGGUUAGGUAUUGUUUUGGAUAGGUUAGGUUAGGUUAGGGUAGGUUAGGUAAGGUUAGGUUAAGUUAGGUUAGGUUCAUGAUAAGUUUUGUAAGGUCAGAGGUAGGUACAGGUAUGGUGCUGGUAAGGUUAGGUAUUGUUUUGGAUAGGUUAGGUUAGGUUAGGGUAGGUUAGGUAAGGUUAGGUUCAUGAUAAGUUUUGUAAGGUCAGAGGUAGGUACAGGUAUGGUGCUGGUAAGGUUAGGUAUUGUUUUGGAUAGGUUAGGUUAGGGUAGGUUAGGUAAGGUUAGGUUAAGUUAGGUUAGGUUCAUGAUAAGUUUUGUAAGGUCAGAGGUAGGUACAGGUAUGGUGCUGGUAAGGUUAGGUAUUGUUUUGGAUAGGUUAGGGUAGGUUAGGUAAGGUUAGGUUAGGUUCAUGAUAAGUUUUGUAAGGUCAGAGGUAGGUACAGGUAUGGUGCUGGUAAGGUUAGGUAAUGUUUUGGAUAGGUUAGGGUAGGUUAGGUAAGGUUAGGUUAGGUUCAUGAUAAGUUUUGUAAGGUCAGAGGUAGGUACAGGUAUGGUGCUGGUAAGGUUAGAUAUUGUUUUGGGUAGGUUAGGUUAGGUUAGGAAAGGUUAGGUAAGCUUCAGGGGUAGAGUGGUGGUUAGGUUAGGUUAGGGAAGGUUCAGGGUAGGGUGGUGGUUAGGUUAGGUUAGGUAAGAUUCAGAGGUAGGGUGGUGGUUAGGCUAGGUUCUGGGUAGGUAAGGUUUUGGUUAGGCUAGGGUAGGUUAGGUUAGAUUGGGGUAACUAUUACAUAUAUAUUUUUUAUGAUAUUUUCUUGUUUUAAUGUUUUUUUGUCUAUCUUCUCCUCC